GCUAAAUAAGAGCGUAUGGGGAAUGCCUAGGCUCUCAGAGGCGAUGAAGGACGUGAUAAGCUGCGAAAAGCUGCGGGGAUUGGCACAUACAAAUUGAUCCGCAGAUAUCCGAAUGGGGCAACCCGUCAUGUUGAAGACAUGUCAUCCGAAAGGAAGCGAACCCGGAGAACUGAAACAUCUAAGUACCCGGAGGAAAGGACAUCAAUUGAUACUCCCCUAGUAGCGGCGAGCGAACGGGGACCAGCCGAGCCUUGAGAGUGAUCGGAACAUGCUGGAAAGCAUGGCCAUAGCGGGUGACAGCCCCGUAUGGGAAGCUCGAUGGAACGUAUUAAGUAGGGCGGAACACGUGAAAUUCUGUCUGAAGAUCGGGGGACCACCCCCGAAGGCUAAGUACUCCUUACUGACCGAUAGCGAACCAGUACCGUGAGGGAAAG
rnacentral:rRNA from 1 species